AACGAACGCUGGCGGCAUGCCUAACACAUGCAAGUCGAACGAGACCUUCGGGCCUAGUGGCGCACGGGUGCGUAACGCGUGGGAACCUGCCCUUAGGUUCGGAAUAACUCCCCGAAAGGGGUGCUAAUACCGGAUAAUGUCUUCGGACCAAAGAUUUAUCGCCUUUGGAUGGGCCCGCGUUGGAUUAGCUAGUUGGUAGGGUAAAAGCCUACCAAGGCGACGAUCCAUAGCUGGUCUGAGAGGAUGAUCAGCCACACUGGGACUGAGACACGGCCCAGACUCCUACGGGAGGCAGCAGUGGGGAAUAUUAGACAAUGGGCGAAAGCCUGAUCCAGCAAUGCCGCGUGAGUGAUGAAGGCCUUAGGGUUGUAAAGCUCUUUUACCCGGGAUGAUAAUGACAGUACCGGGAGAAUAAGCUCCGGCUAACUCCGUG
rnacentral:rRNA from 1 species